rnacentral:rRNA from 1 species
AUUGAACGCUGGCGGCAGGCCUAACACAUGCAAGUCGAGCGGAUGAAGGGAGCUUGCUCCUGGAUUCAGCGGCGGACGGGUGAGUAAUGCCUAGGAAUCUGCCUGGUAGUGGGGGAUAACGUCCGGAAACGGGCGCUAAUACCGCAUACGUCCUGAGGGAGAAAGUGGGGGAUCUUCGGACCUCACGCUAUCAGAUGAGCCUAGGUCGGAUUAGCUAGUUGGUGGGGUAAAGGCCUACCAAGGCGACGAUCCGUAACUGGUCUGAGAGGAUGAUCAGUCGCACUGGAACUGAGACACGGUCCAGACUCCUACGGGAGGCAGCAGUGGGGAAUAUUGGACAAUGGGCGAAAGCCUGAUCCAGCCGUGCCGCGUGUGUGAAGAAGGUCUUCGGAUUGUAAAGCACUUUAAGUUGGGAGGAAGGGCAGUAAGUUAAUACCUUGCUGUUUUGACGUUACCAACAGAAUAAGCACCGGCUAACUUCGUG